rnacentral:rRNA from 1 species
UACGUAGGGUGCAAGCGUUAAUCGGAAUUACUGGGCGUAAAGCGUGCGCAGGCGGUUUUGUAAGUCUGUCGUGAAAGCCCCGGGCUUAACCUGGGAAUUGCGAUGGAGACUGCAAGGCUUGAAUCUGGCAGAGGGGGGUAGAAUUCCACGUGUAGCAGUGAAAUGCGUAGAGAUGUGGAGGAACACCGAUGGCGAAGGCAGCCCCCUGGGUCAAGAUUGACGCUCAUGCACGAAGACGUGGGGAGCAAACAGG